UUGCAGUGAUGGCUUGAAUUUCUUCACCUGAACAUUUUUGUAGAACAUCUUUUCAAAACUGAGCAUU
ensembl:snoRNA SNORD36 Small nucleolar RNA SNORD36